rnacentral:misc_RNA from 1 species
GCAUAAAUCUUCCGCAAAGUUUAAGUGUGUAGUUAAAACAAGUUGAGGACAUUUAUGUAUCAUCUAGAAUCAUUUGCAUACACAGAGGAAUUCAUUCUUUUCAUAUAUCAACUCAAAAGUGUGUAAAAACUGACACAAAAUGGAAAAGUACAAAAUUGGUCUAUUACUCCAUAGAUUUCUUCAGUUCUCUUGAAGAGCCUUCAUCAGAUAGAGUCUACUGAAGCUCUGUCCAGCAACACCGUUAAUCUGGUUGCAGUAGUUUGCUAUUUGAUUAGUUAUGAGAAAGCUGUCCAAUCGUGAGGGUUCUGGGAUUGGCUUAAAGGCAGGAUUAGAAGGAUCCUCCUCCGGCAGUGGCUCUUCUCCAGAAGCUUUACGUGCCAUGUUGUCAGCCCUCCUCUUUUGAAGCCAAGCUUGCUGCUGAGCUUGUUGACGGGAAAGGUUCCGAUAGUAAAAUUGGAACUUUUGCUGCUCCAUUGACAAGUCAUCCAUACACUCGAUCAAAAACUCAACAUUCCUUUCCAAGUAUGGAUUGGUUGACAAUUGUAGGCGCUCAUAAUCACACUGAGUUACAGGUGUAUCAGGUUCAAGUUCAGUCAUAAAGGCACUUAUGAGAGCCGAGUUUGAAACUUUAAAUGGUAUCUCUUCGAAGAUGUCGACCCAUGAAAGAUUCUUUUCCCUCAACUUCUCUCCAGUAAAGUUAUUACUCCUAUAGAGUUCCAUGAAAGAAUCAGAAAGCUUUAAGGCCUUCAAUGCUAAGACACCUUGGUUGGAUCUUGAAGGAUCAUAGAUGAUGCAAACACAACGUUUAAUAUUCUCCUGGUAAUUCAUGAAGGUCUCUAUCAAUUCAACAGUUUGAAAUGAACCAAAUAAAGUUGAUUGAUACCAACCAACGGUGUUGUUGUCAACAUUAACCUCCCUUAGGCAUCUCAUCAUUUCAAGCUGAUA